CCUUGAAGAUCGGAGUGCUUGCACUCUGUGAAACAAGAUACAGGCUAGCGGCGGACGGGUGAGUAACACGUGGGUAACCUGCCCAAGAGAUCGGGAUAACACCUGGAAACAGAUGCUAAUACCGGAUAACAACAGAUGAUGCCUAUCAACUGUUUAAAAGAUGGUUCUGCUAUCACUCUUGGAUGGACCUGCGGUGCAUUAGCUAGUUGGUAGGGUAACGGCCUACCAAGGCGAUGAUGCAUAGCCGAGUUGAGAGACUGAUCGGCCACAUUGGGACUGAGACACGGCCCAAACUCCUACGGGAGGCAGCAGUAGGGAAUCUUCCACAAUGGACGCAAGUCUGAUGGAGCAACGCCGCGUGAGUGAAGAAGGGUUUCGGCUCGUAAAGCUCUGUUGUUGGUGAAGAAGGACAGGGGUAGUAACUGACCUUUGUUUGACGGUAAUCAAUUAGAAAGUCACGGCUAACUACGUGCCAGCAGCCGCGGUAAUACGUAGGUGGCAAGCGUUGUCCGGAUUUAUUGGGCGUAAAGCGAGUGCAGGCGGUUCGAUAAGUCUGAUGUGAAAGCCUUCGGCUCAACCGGAGAAUUGCAUCAGAAACUGUCGAGCUUGAGUACAGAAGAGGAGAGUGGAACUCCAUGUGUAGCGGUGAAAUGCGUAGAUAUAUGGAAGAACACCGGUGGCGAAGGCGGCUCUCUGGUCUGUUACUGACGCUGAGGCUCGAAAGCAUGGGUAGCGAACAGGAUUAGAUACCCUGGUAGUCCAUGCCGUAAACGA
rnacentral:rRNA from 1 species